rnacentral:pre_miRNA from 1 species
CAAAUACUCCCUCCGUCCAGAAAUACUUGUCAUCAAAAUGGAUAAAAGGAAAUGUAUCUAGACGUAUUUUAGUUUUAGAUACAUUUCUUUUUAUCCAUUUUGAUGACAAGUAUUUUCGGACGGAGGGAGUAGAAA